AACUCUACCAAAGUAGGCCUAUACUCUGGAGCAAAGGGCAAAUACUUCAGCCAUGGAAACACUUCCUGGCUUGGCUCUGGUGAAAGGCUUGAAGCAGCCAUGAAAAUGAAGUGUAAAUUUUCUGGAGCAAGUGGAAGAUAUGGUGGGCAGGGCAAGGGCAGAGCAGGGCAGUGUUCGUAACUGAAAGUGAAAAGAAGCCAAGGCAAUGACUAUUUCUGCCAUAAAAACCUGCAAAUUUUCAUCACCAAUGCCGGAUGUCUUGUUUUGGCUGCACACAGACAAGCGUAAAAUAAUGUUAAUUUGCAAGAAUUCUUCUUCUUCUUCUUUUUUUCCUUAUGAAAUGUUUAUACGUAUGAAAUAAAAAAGGAUCUGCAUUUGUCA